GUGGCUGGGGGAAGAAGGGAGGGGCGGGUACGGGAGCUGCGGGCGCCCCCAGGACUCGUGACCGAAUGUGGAGGUGACCAAGAAACACCACCACCACCACCACCACCACCACCACCACCCCGUCCCACCCUGAGACCAGACUGUCCAACCUGAGGGAGUGGAACCGAUUCCCAACACGUGAGGAGUGAGUGUGUAGGAAACAGCAACCCGGAUGGUGAAAACCACCGCAGAACUGAAGCUGCAGUAGCAGCCGCAGCUCUUCCAGGCUGCGGUUGAUGCGGUCCCGGCGCCGCUUCUCCACCAGCGGCUUCAGCAUCUGUGACCAGCGGGGAAGGGAGAGCGGGCCGACCGGACCGGGACUCAGCGCCGCCACGCGAGCGUCCGAUCCUGCCGCUGGGAAAACCCAUGCGUCCCUUUCCCCCCCCGAGUCCCUGGUCGCCUAGGGCUGCUCCGUGCAUCCAUCCCCUCUUCCUCCCUCCUUCCCAGCGCCCUAGGGUCGGGUUCAGAGGCUCGCCCCCACUUCUCCCCGCUCCCUGCCCGCUGCCCCUUCUGUGCUCCGCUUCCUCUUGUCUCCCGUCUGUGACUCUCCUCUCUCUACAUCUCUAUCUGGUGUGGUCUCCCUCUCUGUGAAUCAGUGAAGAACUUUGGGGACACUCUUUGCCCCCCAACCCGCGCGGUGCGGCUCGGAGUUGGUAGCCCAGGGUGAAAGGGAGACACACAGCCCGGCCAACCACACCGCCCCUCCUCGCUCAAGCCCUUCCAGGCACUCGCCUACAAGUCGCCACUGGCUCUCCUAAAAUCACCACCGGGGCUCGCACCUCUGGAACCAACGACUCAAAAGUCUUCUCUUUGAGUCAGACGUGGUUCACAGCUGCUGACGGACAGACAGCGUCCAUAGCCUCUCCUCCUUUUGUUCCCGCCUCCCUCCCCCCCGGCUCUGUACCCUAGCUUAUUUUUUGCGUCAGUAGCGCGCACUCCAUGGCCUCGAACUCGCGGUAAUCCACCUGCCUCAGCGUCCCGAGCGCUAGGGUGGGCCACGGUGCCCAAAUUCUGGCACUCUCCGGCGCCCUCCAGGCCGCAAGCCGCAACCCACAGUAAUUCAAACCCCUAGACCUUGGCUGCCGCCGCCCACGCGAGUCGGGCUCUGACCCUGUCCUCUUCAUACUUUACAGGUUCUUUGGGUCGCACGAGCGCCUCUGUCCUUUUCAGUCCUGCGUCUCCAUCCUCACCCCUAACCCACAGUGUGAGGACCUGGAAGCCCUCUGGCCGGAACAGGGGACUCCCUGCUCCCUCCCUUCCCACCUCUCACCUUGGGGCCGUCCCUAUUCUCAGCUCGAUCCCGAGUGACCAUUGCGCGUCCGGACCCUGCGGUGGACACAGCGCGUGCUCCCUAGAUCUUUAUACCCCUCCUCGGCAGGGUAGGAGGGAUGGGACCCGGACCCGCCCCCUCGGGCUCCUGGAUGCCUGGGGCAAAGACCCUGGCACGAGGCUCCCGGAAAGGCGGGGACUGAGGGGGGAGGGGAAGGAGAGGAACUGGCCCCAAGUGUGGGAAGCGAGGGAAGGAAGGGGCCACAGGCUGGUUUAAGGACCCUAGGGCUGUAUAAGAAGGCGGGACCCCACUGGAGGGAGGGGACGAUUCGGGGGAGGGAGUUUAAGUGAAUUGGGACACAACUCGCUUGGACAUGGGAUUUGGGGAUCUCCUAGAGGAGUGGAUUCCUUGGAGGCUCACUAUGGCCUCGACCGCACUGAAAUAAAUGUUAGCACGCUGCA